rnacentral:misc_RNA from 1 species
CUGCAUAAAUGAUCAAGACGUACUUAGUGGUGGAAAAAAAAUCCAUUUUAUUAAAUUAUAUUUGACUCUCUUCUAAAAUUCUAUAAUUUAUAGUAUUCUAAUUAAAGAUAUAGAUCAUCCAUGCUUAAUAUGUAAGUGCAAAUUUUUCAUAUUAAAGCCACUAUAAAAGUGGAUUAAUUUGGCAAAGAUGGAUUAAAAAGAUAAGAAUUUGGCAAAAUAAAGUGAUAAACCAAAGCAUAAUGAUCAUAACCUUUUUUUUUCAUGUUUACCUUUAAUUAAUUUUAUCAUUUAGGAAUCACUUUAUUUUAUUUCAAUUUGAUUAGGGUAGUGUAGACACAUAUUCUCAAACUUUCUGCAGCCAUUGACAGAUUACAAGUUUUAAUAACUUUAAUUUAAAGGAACAAUGAAGAUUAAUUAUAGGGGAGAGUUUAGUUUUCAACAGGAACACAUGGGUAGAGAAAAAGUCAUGACCCCACACAAUUUGCUGCCACAGCGAAGAUUUGAAUUAAAGGUCUCAUUCACAGGAAUGAAAAAUUCUGUGAUGUUGCUUUCAUGGAUCCCCACCAUUACUACUGCCCAAACUGCCCAAACCCACAUCAUCAGUGAGCACAAAAAGAUUGAAGAGCACAUUAUCCCAAAAUGACCAUGCAUCAAUCCAGGGAAGAAAUCAAAGAACAUGGAUAAAAGAGGAUAGAAAAUAUGAAAGAAAAUAGGAAAAUACCCAUCACCCAAUGACUCAAAAGGCAAUAAAAGUAAGAGCAUUUUAUCUCCUCUUAGAUCAUGUCCAUGUUUAAACAUUUGUAUGAGAGAAUUUGAGAGAGAGAGAGAAUGAUUUCUAAGUCCUAGCAAAUAAAUGGAAAUGGACUUGGUUAACUGUGAGAUGAUUAAGGAUUAUAAUUUCCAAAACCAGCAAGACAGAAUCCUUGCUUCUAAUGAGAAUAUCCCAUCAUAUAUUUCUAUAGUUUAACAUGAACAAAGGUUGACAUUCAAAAUGAUUCAAUGCGAAAGGUGACACUAAUGAAAAGAAGCACAUCGAGGAUGAGUCUUUUUAUCAUAAUUAACUUACCAAUUGUCAAGAUGUAAUUGUCUUUUUAACAUUUUCAUAAUUAACUUUCCAACAGCUAUUUGUAGAUUGAAAAUUAGACCUUUACAUUCAGAAUUCAAGAUCUCAAAAUAUUCAUGCUGCCAACUUGCAGUCUAAUUGAUGGAAAUUUCAAAUAAAACAUUAUUCAGUUCUAUGGACUAGCCUUCUCUCAUCAAGACAAAGAGCCAACAACUGAUUGCUAUAUGCUCAGAGUGCUCACAAAAUAAUCAAGUUUGCUCAAAAGGUUAAUAAAUCAUCAACGCAAGUGUUCUUUUACAGAACAUAGGACAUCAUGAUUAUCCAUCCAACCAUAAGAGGACCAACAACAAGAUAAAUGUCCAGAAUAUUGAGGUCAACUACAGCUACUCUAUUUGGUUAAUCUUUAUAACAAGAAAAUGUCUUUGAAAUUUGAUUUUUAAUCAAUCAAAUUUCAAUAUACAAGCAGUACAUCAACAAUAUACCACAACCAAUCAUCACAACAUUUGAAUUAGCAUCCCAAAAAAUUAUCAAAAAGAAAAGCAUAACAAGCUUUAAUCAAAUGGAUUAAACUUUGAAGACCAACAAGAACCAUAAAAUAAAAUACCUUUUAAUGUUCUUGUGUUUUACCCAUCCAUGACAAAUCCAUGUUAAGGGAAGAAGGCAUACCCAUCUGAGCAUCUGAGGAGCUCGAAAACCUGCCCUUUUUAGACCAAAGCCAAAUCUUAGAUACAGAGAAGCUCUCGCGUUUGGUUACACUACUAAUCUUCUUCCCCUCCAAAUCCCCAUCAACUGAAAGGCUUCCAUUCUGGUCAGCCCUUUCCUCAAGCUUAACUUCGCAUCCAUGCCGGUCAGUGCACAAGGGAACCCUCAGGUCCGACUCACCAAGCACAUACUGGUACGAACCCAUUGAAAAACAUCUUCUUGCAUCUAAAUUACUGCUGCUAGUCUCUCCUCCUGCCUCCUCCCCUGUUCCAUCAUUCAGCCUCCUGAAUUUACCAAGUCUCACUGGUAAAAUCCCCUUUUCAACAACAGGUUCUUCAAUUUCCACAAUUUUUUGACUAGAAGAGAACCCAUUUUCUACAUUACCAGGACAUCCAUCAUCUUCUCUUAGAUCAUCAAAAUCAAACAUUGGGUUUUCAAUGGAAAACCCAGGAGUAAAAAGGGUCCCUCUACAAAGAGGGCAUGUAGAAUUCGAUAAUAGCCAAGUAUCUAUGCAAUUGAUAUGGAAAGCAUGGCUACACAUAGGAAGCAAUCUCAGCUUGUCUUUCUCAGAAAACUCGCAUAAACAAACAGCACAAUCAAAUGGCUCUUUUAGACCCAUAAUCUCCUUGUAGAGAAACACAGGCAGUGC